GCGGAAUGGAUUAAGAGCUUGCUCUUAUGAAGUUAGCGGCGGACGCCGUGAGUAACACGUGGGUAACCUGCCCAUAAGACUGGGAUAACUCCGGGAAACCGGGGCUAAUACCGGAUAACAUUUUGAACCGCAUGGUUCGAAAUUGAAAGGCGGCUUCGGCUGUCACUUAUGGAUGGACCCGCGUCGCAUUAGCUAGUUGGUGAGGUAACGGCUCACCAAGGCAACGAUGCGUAGCCGACCUGAGAGGGUGAUCGGCCACACUGGGACUGAGACACGGCCCAGACUCCUACGGGAGGCGGCAGGAGGGAAUCUUCCGUAAUGGACGAAAGUCUGAAGUAGAAUCGCCGCGGGAGUGAUGACAGCUUUCAGGCCGAGAAGUCUGAGGUUCA
rnacentral:rRNA from 1 species